GUGCCAGCAGCCGCGGUAAUACGGAGGGGGUUAGCGUUGUUCGGAAUUACUGGGCGUAAAGCGUACGUAGGCGGAUUGGAAAGUUGGGGGUGAAAUCCCAGGGCUCAACCCUGGAACUGCCUCCAAAACUAUCAGUCUAGAGUUCGAGAGAGGUGAGUGGAAUUCCAAGUGUAGAGGUGAAAUUCGUAGAUAUUUGGAGGAACACCAGUGGCGAAGGCGGCUCACUGGCUCGAUACUGACGCUGAGGUACGAAAGUGUGGGGAGCAAACAGGAUUAGAUACCCUGGUAGUCCACACCGUAAACGAUGAAUGCCAGUCGUCGGGCAGUAUACUGUUCGGUGACACACCUAACGGAUUAAGCAUUCCGCCUGGGGAGUACGGUCGCAAGAUUAAAACUCAAAGGAAUUGACGG
rnacentral:rRNA from 1 species